CAGGCCUAACACAUGCAAGUCGAGCGGACCAUUCCUUCGGGGAUGGUUAGCGGCGGACGGGUGAGUAACACGUAGGCAACCUGCCUGUAAGAUCGGGAUAACUACCGGAAACGGUAGCUAAGACCGGAUAGCUGGUUUCUCCGCAUGGGGGAAUCAUGAAACACGGGGCAACCUGUGGCUUACGGAUGGGCCUGCGGCGCAUUAGCUAGUUGGUGGGGUAACGGCCCACCAAGGCGACGAUGCGUAGCCGACCUGAGAGGGUGAUCGGCCACACUGGGACUGAGACACGGCCCAGACUCCUACGGGAGGCAGCAGUAGGGAAUCUUCCGCAAUGGGCGCAAGCCUGACGGAGCAACGCCGCGUGAGUGAUGAAGGUUAUCGGAUCGUAAAGCUCUGUUGCCAAGGAAGAACGCCUCGGAGAGUAACUGCUCUGAGGGUGACGGUACUUGAGAAGAAAGCCCCGGCUAACUACGUGCCAGCAGCCGCGGUAAUACGUAGGGGGCAAGCGUUGUCCGGAAUUAUUGGGCGUAAAGCGCGCGCAGGCGGUCUUUUAAGUUUGGUGUUUAAGCCCGGGGCUCAACCCCGGUUCGCACUGAAAACUGGGAGACUUGAGUGCAGGAGAGGAAAGCGGAAUUCCACGUGUAGCGGUGAAAUGCGUAGAGAUGUGGAGGAACACCAGUGGCGAAGGCGGCUUUCUGGACUGUAACUGACGCUGAGGCGCGAAAGCGUGGGGAGCAAACAGGAUUAGAU
rnacentral:rRNA from 1 species